GUACACUCCUACGGGAGGCAGCAGUGGGGAAUAUUGAACAAUGGGCGCAAGCCUGAUGCAGCCAUGCCGCGUGUAUGAAGAAGGCCUUCGGGUUGUAAAGUACUUUCAGCGGGGAGGAAGGCGAUAAGGUUAAUAACCUUGUCGAUUGACGUUACCCGCAGAAGAAGCACCGGCUAACUCCGUGCCAGCAGCCGCGGUAAUACGGAGGGUGCAAGCGUUAAUCGGAAUUACUGGGAGUAAAGCGCACGCAGGCGGUCUGUCAAGUCGGAUGUGAAAUCCCCGGGCUCAACCUGGGAACUGCAUUCGAAACUGGCAGGCUAGAGUCUUGUAGAGGGGGGUAGAAUUCCAGGUGUAGCGGUGAAAUGCGUAGAGAUCUGGAGGAAUACCGGUGGCGAAGGCGGCCCCCUGGACAAAGACUGACGCUCAGGUGCGAAAGCGUGGGGAGCAAACAGGAUUAGAAACCCCUGUAGUCCC
rnacentral:rRNA from 1 species